ensembl:lncRNA
CUGCACAGACCAGAAAGCAAACCCUCACUGGAACCAAAUAAGCAGGCACUUUGAUCUUGGACUUCUCAGUCUCCAGAACUGUUCUAAAUUGCCCAGGCUGGCCUUGAAACUGCAGUCAUCCUGCCUCAGCUGGAUGGAUAGCUGGGAUUAUAGGCAUACACCACUACGCCCACCGAAAGUCCAAGUCUUCACAAUGGCCUAGGCUGUCAGAGCUUUUGCUAAGAGGGAACACACAACCAUACUGCUGCAAGUGAAAUCUGCAGUCUGCACUAUUGGAUUGGUUUUGCACGUGGUCUGUUACUAUGUUCAAAGCAUUAAAGAAUCUGCAAGUGGAUUAUCUACAGAGCUUCUCUCUUCACAGAGCUGCAGUUCGGCCUCUUCACUUUCUCUCUCUUGCUUCUCACGAAGACCCUUUGUUUGCUGCCAGCAUCUGCCUACACUGGGUACUAACUUGACCUGGCAUGAUUCUCCCUAUCCCUAGAAGAAACAGCCCACACCUACAUGCCAGGAUGAACUAAGAUUGCUGAGCAAAGCUAGCAACCUUUCUCUGAAGUGGUGUCACAUGCAGACAG